UUGGUCCCAUUUUGCUACUGUGUCGGCUCUAACAGUAGCUAUUGGUCUUUAAGAGGGGCCAUGAAGUUCACCUUUUACCAUUGCAGUGGUCUUGGCUUGCAUUGUAUGUUCUUUCCUAACUUUAUUGGUUGUCUCUUAUGGACACGUGUGUAGUAGUGCGUGUGUGUGAGUGAAUGUAUAUAUGAUCAUCAAUUUCAAUAAAACAUGCAUUAUAUAUGAUAAUUUUUCAGCUUAUUGAAUAAUUACUUCUUAGUCUUGACUUCCUUUCUCUAUUUUUUGUUCCUUUUUCUUUUCAGGAAAAAUAUACACAUUAUCUUAUAUUCAUC
rnacentral:lncRNA from 1 species